AGCGAACGCUGGCGGCAAGCUUAACACAUGCAAGUCGAACGCCCCGCAAGGGGAGUGGCAGACGGGUGAGUAACACGUGGGAACGUACCCUUUGGUUCGGAAUAACUUGGGGAAACUCAAGCUAAUACCGGAUAAGCCCUUAUGGGGAAAGGUUUACUGCCGAAGGAUCGGCCCGCGUCUGAUUAGCUAGUUGGUGAGGUAAUGGCUCACCAAGGCGACGAUCAGUAGCUGGUCUGAGAGGAUGAUCAGCCACACUGGGACUGAGACACGGCCCAGACUCCUACGGGAGGCAGCAGUGGGGAAUAUUGGACAAUGGGGGCAACCCUGAUCCAGCCAUGCCGCGUGAGUGAUGAAGGCCUUAGGGUUGUAAAGCUCUUUUACCCGGGACGAUAAUGACUGUACCGGGAGAAUGAGCCCCGGCUAACUUCGUGCCAGCAGCCGCCGUAAAAC
rnacentral:rRNA from 1 species